AUUAAAAUGAAUGUUUAAAGUUUGUGUAUGCAUACAGACAUGUAAAAUUUUAUGUAUGAUGAAUCUUGGUUUUAGUUUAAGUAUUAAACCAAUAAUCGCUUUGCGUGAGCAUGCUUUGUUUUGAGGCUGUUUAGGGCCUAAUUCUGACAAACUAGAAUUGACAGCAUAUUUUUUACAAAGCUUUUUCUCCAGCAGUCACUUUGUAAAAGUGACUUUUGGCUUUGAGCGCUGAGGUUAGUCAGGCUUGGUUUUCUUGUAAGCUUGUCUUGCACCAAGUUGCUGCUGAAUGAUGAAAAUUGCAAAAUGGUUAUGAGGACAUGGAGAGAGCUGUGUCAUCCAGCUUCCCUUUUUGGGAACUUGCUACAAGCUGGCUCUGGCACAGGUUUUCCCAGCAGAAUACAAAAUAGACUCUUUCACAUUAGGUAAAUAGCAAGUCUUUCAUUAUUUGAGGUACCAGAAGUCAAGGUUCAGGAAUGCAGCUACAGCCAAGUCCUAAAAUGUGAACAGCCAAGAGCAACUGGGAGCUUUCUUACUCCAUGGGAAGGGAAAAUCACUUAUCAGGCUGGAAAAAAAGAUAGUGAGCCACUCAAUUCAUAGCUUUUUAAUAGCUGAGGGAAAAGUACAUCUGGCCACCUGAAAGCAUCUGAUGUGGUAGGUGAAAAAAAUUGCAUAAUCUUAGCAUUGUGCAUAGAAAGGCAGGGUACAAACUUGUAAUCAAAAUGUACAUGGUGAUGUUUGAUCUGGUAUAGUGUAUUCAAAUUGCUUCCUAGUCAAGAAAGUUUUGGAAUCCAAAUGAAACAGCUGCAAGUUGGACUUAAGCAAUCUGAAAUGGUGGAAAUUUCUCAGUGAAACAGAAUUGAGAAAGGGUGAGAUUAUGCUCAGUUUCAGGGAGCUGCUCAAGGGCUAGAGAUAGUAGUCCUAGAAUAGCUGUCCAGACCAAGGAAGAUAGUAGAGUAAAAUCUGCAACUGCACUCUGCCCUCCCAAGAACUUUCUUGAAUUCUCAUAUUACUGUGAUAUAUUACUGGCUUUUUGUUUCAAGACCAGAAGAAAUUUUCUAUGUUAGAAUUUUUUAACAGCUGGAAUUUAUUGCAAAAGAUGCUGCCAGAGCAUUAGGAACUGUGAUUGGGCGUUUCAUUGCAUUGCUCUACAUUGUCUUCUGGCAUAAGGCUAUGCUCUUGUUACUGCCUAUAGGAAGUUUCUUUUGUCUCAAACCGUGAAGAGGGUCUGCAUGCUUCUUCUUAGUUGGGUUGUUUGUUACUGCACAUCUCUUCUCCUUUUUCCAGUUACAGUGUCUUUUAGAGUACUUCACCACACUUAGUUCUGAACAGGUUUUUGUUCUG